rnacentral:rRNA from 1 species
GUGAACGCUGGCGGUAGGCCUAACACAUGCAAGUCGAACGGCAGCACAGUAAGAGCUUGCUCUUACGGGUGGCGAGUGGCGGACGGGUGAGGAAUACAUCGGAAUCUACUUUUUCGUGGGGGAUAACGUAGGGAAACGUACGCUAAUACCGCAUACGACCUACGGGUGAAAGCAGGGGAUCUUCGGACCUUGCGCGAUUGAAUGAGCCGAUGUCGGAUUAGCUAGUUGGCGGGGUAAAGGCCCACCAAGGCGACGAUCCGUAGCUGGUCUGAGAGGAUGAUCAGCCACACUGGAACUGAGACACGGUCCAGACUCCUACGGGAGGCAGCAGUGGGGAAUAUUGGACAAAGGGCGCAAGCCUGAUCCAGCCAUACCGCGUGGGUGAAGAAGGCCUUCGGGUUGUAAAGCCCUUUUGUUGGGAAAGAAAAGCAGCAGGUUAAUACCCCGCUGUUCUGACGGUACCCAAAGAAUAAGCACCGGCUAACUUCGUG